rnacentral:rRNA from 1 species
UACAGAGGGUGCGAGCGUUGUCCGGAAUCACUGGGCGUAAAGGGCGCGUAGGCGGCUUGAUAAGCGUGCGGUGAAAGCCCGGGGCUCAACCCCGGGUCGGCCGUGCGAACUGUCGAGCUGGAGCACUGUAGAGGCAGGUGGAAUUCCGGGUGUAGCGGUGGAAUGCGUAGAGAUCCGGAAGAACACCGGUGGCGAAGGCGGCCUGCUGGGCAGUGGCUGACGCUGGAGGAGCGAAAGCGUGGGGAGCGAACAGG